GGCUCCUUGGUCAAGUGGUUAAGACACCACCCUCUCACGGUGGUAACAGGGGUUCGAGUCCCCUAGGAGUCA
rnacentral:tRNA from 1 species